rfam:Vitrella brassicaformis CCMP3155 genome assembly, contig: scaffold109
GGGCGAAUAGUUCAGUUGGAUAGAAUGCCCGCCUACGGAGUGGGUGGUCGUGGGUUCGAAUCCUGCUUCGCCUU